UGUGUUUGUGCUGUGACUC
rnacentral:piRNA from 1 species